CAUUUACUUUAAGUCAGUGAUUUAAGUUGAGCAGAAAUAAAUCUGCUGCUGCUUCACAAGAACUUUGUGAAAUCAACAUAAAGAAGACAGUGAAACAAAUCCUAUUUCUACUGGUGCUGCCUCACUUUACAAUUCUCAGAAGGGAGUGAAUAUUGCAGGUUUCGAGAUAUAACAGAAGGCAGAAAUAUCUGCAGUGUGGAGUAUAGCUAGAAAUGUUUUCUACACAAGCCUCUGAGGAGACCAACUGUGAUGCAGGUUGCUUCUAUGAUGACAGUGGUCACGUGGAGGCAGGUGCACACAUGACAAGUGUUCCUAUAGAAGCAUGCAGCUCCAUAGCAGCUCAGAACAGAAAUGCGAACUUCUCCAAGAUCAAUUUCUAAAAUGCUGAACAGAUGAGUUAUAUCCCUUCAUUCUCGUUGCAUGCUGCUGUAAUUUAAGGAAUGGGAGGCUGAAGGUCAAGUGAUGGGAGAGGAGUCCUGCUGUGUGGGUAGGUGAGAGUGGUGAGCCAAAGGACGUCAUCUGGAUGUGGGACUGUCCCUCUUCAAGGCCUUUCUCCUUGUUUAGAGGCCCCUUUUUACCAGGUCAGUGUCUCUAAUCAUGGCUGUUUGUUGUGUGAGGGUGUGGGCAAUUCCCUUUUGCACAUGGGUGGGUGUGGAUAGCUUUGGCUUGUUGAACCUCUGCUUUCCUUCAGCCUUCCAAGUGCUUUUAAAGCCUAAGUUCAUCUCUAGAUGCUUCUUGCUUGCCUUGACUAGCAGGCAAAUACCUUAGCUAAACAUUUCCAAGCAUCUUUCUAUUCCAG
ensembl:lncRNA